AGAGCGAACGCUGGCGGCAGGCUUAACACAUGCAAGUCGAACGCGUGUAGCAAUACACGAGUGGCGCACGGGUGAGUAACGCGUGGGCAUCUGCCUCAUGGUUCGGAAUAACCCCGGGAAACUGGGGCUAAUACCGGAUGGUACCUUCGGGUUAAAGAUUUAUCGCCAUGAGAUGAGCCCGCGUCCGAUUAGCUAGUUGGUGAGGUAACGGCUCACCAAGGCGACGAUCGGUAGCUGGUCUGAGAGGACGAUCAGCCACACUGGGACUGAGACACGGCCCAGACUCCUACGGGAGGCAGCAGUGGGGAAUAUUGGACAAUGGGGGCAACCCUGAUCCAGCCAUGCCGCGUGAGUGAUGAAGGCCUUCGGGUUGUAAAGCUCUUUUAGCGGGGACGAUGAUGACGGUACCCGCAGAAUAAGCCCCGGCUAACUUCGCGCCAGCAGCCGC
rnacentral:rRNA from 1 species